rnacentral:rRNA from 1 species
GUGUCAGCAGCCGCGGUAAGACGAACCGUGCGAACGUUGUUCGGAUUCACUGGGCUUAAAGGGCGCGUAGGCGGGCUCGCCAGUCUGUGGUGAAAGCCCCCGGCUUAACCGGGGAAGUGCCGUGGAUACUGCGAGUCUUGAGGAGGGUAGGGGCAUCUGGAACGCUGGGUGGAGCGGUGAAAUGCGUUGAUAUCCAGCGGAACUCCGGUGGCGAAGGCGAGGUGCUGGACCCUUUCUGACGCUGAGGCGCGAAAGCCAGGGGAGCAAACGGGAUUAGAUACCCCCGUAGUCC